rnacentral:rRNA from 1 species
CACGUAGGGGACGAGCGUUGUCCGGAUUCAUUGGGCGUAAAGCGCGCGUAGGCGGCUCGGAAAGUCGGUCGUGAAAUGCCGGGGCUCAACCCCGGGACUGCGUCCGAUACUCCCGAGCUGGAGGCAGGUAGGGGAGAUCGGAAUUCCUGGUGUAGCGGUGAAAUGCGCAGAUAUCGGGAGGAACACCAGUAGCGAAGGCGACACUCUGGGCCGGUACUGACGCUGAGGAGCGAAAGCGUGGGGAGCAAACAGG